rnacentral:lncRNA from 1 species
UUAGGGUUACAAUUGUUACAACAUUCGAAUAAAUAAAAUAGCGGAAAAAUAAAAUAUAUAGACAUAUAUACAUUCAAACAAAUAAACAAAUCCUUCUUCAGUUAAUCUUCAACUUGAACUUCAAAUAUGAAACCUGUUAAACAAAACAAAUGAUUCACCUUGUACUCGAACAAAGCAGGAAAUAGCGGAGAAAAGCACUUGAAUAUUUGCCGAAAUAUUUAUAUAUUGUUUAAAGUAGCAAGAGAGCAAUGAGAGAAGGGGAGAGUGAUGAGAGAAUUUGGUUGAAAGUGAAUGGGUAUAUUUUAGAGAAUGAGAGGAGGGGGUUCCUUUUUAUAUACAAAGAGGGGUAACAAAUAAGGGAAAAAUGUUUAAAGGAAUCAAUAAUUAUCACAUUUUCCUUAUUUUAAAGGAGAGCCAAAUCAGAAAAAUUUUAAAAUAUUUCAUUACCAAAUAUAAACAAGUAAUAAUAACGAAUAGGAAAAAGUAAUAUUUUCCCUUAAAUAAAGGAAGACAAAUCAUAUUUUUUUUAAAAUAUUUCAUUACCAAAAAAUAAAUAAGUAAGAAAUAAAUUAGAACAUUAACAUUAUUUUCCUUAAAUAGUGAAGAUCCAAAUUAAAACUAUUUUAAAUUAUAAUUUUCCAGCUAUAGGAGUAGUAAGAUCUAUAUAAUUAUGCAAUUAACGGAAGAAGGAUCAAUUAAGUUAUAAUAAAAGGGAGGAAAUUAACACAAAUUUAUUUAUUUCUUUUAUAAAAAAAUCCAAUCCAAGUUACUGUUAAUCAACAUUUGCACAUGUUUAACUCAAGGAAAUUAUUUAGGAAGACAAUAUCACAUUAACUUAAAGUCAAAGCCAACAUACAACUUCAUAUAAUUUUUACCGAUAUAGACAACUAAUAAUCAACCACACUUAAUAAAGUAAAGUCAAGCAGAAAUUUGCAAACUCAUUUAAUUUUUUAUUUUUUUAAAAAAAACGAAUCAAAUCUAAGCUAAGGAAUGAUCCUUCAAAGAUGUGAGUUAUCACUCCCAUUAAUAGCUGAACCAGGCACCAUCAAUCACAAAUAAUAUUGAACAUAAUAUGUAAUAUGUAGGAAAAUAGCUAAGUUAACCGUCUUCCAAGUCAAAAUGGACAAUAUUCAAUUACACACCAAGUCUAAAAAUCAGAAAAUCACAGAUUUAAGAUCAAGAUAACAUGCAUAAAAUUAUUCAUUCAGGCAGUCGACAACCAAUUUGUAGAAGAAGAACAAAUCUAUAUAAAAGUGAGAUGCUGAAAUGAUAUUUUAGGAAAAGAUACCCGGACGGAUCUGUUGAGAUCCGUCAUUUCGAUCAAACCCGUCUAUCACCGGAGUUUUUUGGCUAAGAUGCUAUGAUUUUGUUGUUGUUGCUUGUUGUUUCGUAGCUAUGCUGCUCCUGGUCCUAGAAAAUAAAAGAGAAAAAAAAGAAAGAGAAGAGAGGAUAAUACUUACCGGAGUUCCGCCAUCUCCGUGCAGCUGCUGGCCAGAUUCGCUGCUCGAGCGUUGCCAUUCGAAGCGGGCUGUGCAGGGGCUACUGGUCUUGUUGUCUUUGCCAGCGGGAGCUUCUGCCAACAAUGGGACCCUCGCGAUCGGCUGCUGGACGAAGCAAAUGUUGCUGCCCUCACCUAGCGCUGCUAUCAUUGCUAUUGAUUGCCUCGCUUGGCACUACUGCUUCUUUGAGAAAAAGGAGAGAAGAGGAGACAGGGGAGGAGAAGGCACAGAGAUGAGAGGAGACAGCGAGGGGACGCAGCCUGGCGGAAGAGAGGAGAUGGAGAAGAGAAGAGAAGUUGCCGGUGGAGUUGGAGGGGGAGAGAGAGAGAGGAAAAGCGGUUGAUCUGAGGGAGAAGAGAAGAGAAGGAGGGAGAAUUAUUUUUAGGGAUUAGAGUCUUUGGUGUUGAAGAAAAGAGAAGGGAGAUUUAAUCACAACCGUCGAUUUAGAUAGAGAUGAGGGUUAGGAUUCGAUCUAGGAUUUAUUAAUAAAUAGACGGAUGAGAUCAAAAGAUGAUUUCUUGAAAUUAGAUGAGUUAGAUACGGAAUGGCUAAAAUUGCAAUAACAUUUGCUAGAAUUGGAAUGAAAGAGAGGCUAUGAUUGUAAUAAAACUCUAAUUCAUGUGGCUAGAAUUGGAAGAAAUUGGAAUAGAAUAGGCUAGAAUUUAAAAUUUAAGGAAAGUGUAGGAAUUACUAUUUAAUUAAAAUACUACAUAUAUUAAAAUAUUUUUAUGUAAUUGAAAAUCAUUUAAAUUUUAACAUUUGAAAUUCAUUAAUAAUUUUAAAAUAUUUUAAUAAUAUUUACGAUAAUUUUAUAGAAUAAAACAUACUAAAAUAUAUGACUUUCAAGCAAAGUCGAUUAAAAAUUCUAAAAUUUAAAAUACGUAUUUAAUCGAAUAGUAUUUCUAAAAAGUUCAAAGGUCGGUCAAAAUUGGGUGUCAACAGCUGCCCCUUGGUUGAUUGAGAAUGAAGAAUGAAUUGUCAGGCAACCAACGUUGACUUAGUAGCCGAUUUUGUCCGACCGACGAGAGAUGUCAGUUGGAUCAAUUUAAACGAUAUAGAGUUGAAAAAAAAGGUACGACCGAGACUUUGGUUUUAAGUCGCCUACAUAUCUCUGGUUAUACGAGAAUCAGGUCGUGUGUAGUUCUAGAUUCAAGAGCAAAUGAAACUCUUAAAAAUUGAAAGAGCGCUAAGGUAUUUGAAAGGCACGAUAUCGGCUUGAAUGGAUAAGAAUAGAGUAACGAGAAAAGAGAGAUUGAGAGGCUAAAAGAGUAUGACAGAGAGCGAUCGAGAAGAGCAUGAUAGAGUAAGGCUAUCAGCCUUUGAGCGAGGGUUCGGAGUAUGAAAAACGAAGAAUUGAUAGGGUCAUUGUUGUGAUAGAGGAUAGCGUGAAAAUUGUAAUCAAGGGCGAUCGAUCAUAUCUGCAAAUUCUAGAUAAAAUGUUAGCUAUAAAUAGAUAAAGUAUGACCAAUAAUAAUAAAAUAUGAGUUCUAAAUAGAAAAGAGGUGAUAAAAAAGCGUAUCUGUUUGAGACGUACUGCAAACCUUGAUUGUCUGUAACUUCUUGAAGGAUUGAACCCAUCUCUGAAGAAUGACGUCAAACUCCAAUAGAUUUGAUACUAUAAAGAUAUAACAGUAUAGACGAAAAUAUCUAGUUAUAAGGAAAGUCUAAACGUCAUUUUAAGGCGGACGAGCCUAAGUGUCGUUUUAAGGCGGACAACCUAAAUAUCUUAUAAAGCGGACGAACAUAAAUGUAUUAUGAGGCGGACAAGCCUAGAUGUCCUUUAAGGUGGACGACCUAAAUGUCCUAUAAGAUGGACAAACCUAAAUGUCGUUUAAGGCGGACGAGCCUAAAUGUCGCAUUGUAAGGCGGACGAGCCUAGAUGUCGCAUUGUAAGGCGGACGAGCCUAGAUGUCGCUGUAAGGCGGACGAGCCUAGAUGUCGCAUUGUAAGGCGGACGAGCCUAGCUGAAGACAUAGAAAGUCACAGUGGCGAGUUGAAUCCGAAGAUAUCUUCAUGGUAGCCUGAAUGAUAGCGAAACAAUAGUUCGAGUAGCCAAGAAUUUGUUGUAGCCUUUGUGUGUAAGCAAAGGAACAGCCGUUCAGAAGGCGACUUUGUCUGUAAUCUGCAUAACUGUAACUUGUAGUAGAGUAAUUAGAGCAAAAUAAGCGGUGAAUGUAAACAUGAUGCAAUUUCCCAUAUAGACCAUGAAUGUUUGCCUUAAGACCAUGCAAGAUGAUGUCUUAGGCUAUGGUGUCUAGGGCCAUGAUACGUGAAAUGUAUCCUCAGGUCAUGAAAUGUUGUCUGCAGGCCAUGAAGAUGACGCCUUUAGACUAUGACACCUUCGGAUUAUGAUAGGAAGAAAUUAAACCCUUAGGCCAUGAUAUGAUGUCCGCAGGCCAUGAGGAUGAUGCCUUUAGACUAUGACGCCUUAGGAACAUGAUAUGCAUAAAAUAAGUCCUCAGGCCAUGACAUGAAGUCCGCAGGCUAUGAAAGAUGAUGCCUUUGGAGGAUGACGCCUUGGGAUAUCAGUAAUGAGUAAAGAGAGCGUAUCUGUUUUUGACAUCUGUUGAUACUUAUGACUUGAUUUGAUUCGGGCACAUGUAAAUUCGAGCACGAUGCAAUCUUGAGCUUAUGCAAACUUCGGGCACAAUGAAGUCUCGGGCACAAUGCGAUAAUGCAUUUCUUCGGGCACAUGCAAUAUCGAGCACAAUGCAAUGAUGCACUUCUUCAAGCACAAUAUAAUAUCGGGCACAUGCAGUAUCGAGCAUAUGUAAUGGUGCAUUUCUUCGAGCACAUAAAAUAUCGAGAGCAUGCAAUAAUGCAAUUCUUCGAGCAUAAGUCAAUAUUGGGCAUAUGCGAUGAUGUGUUCCUCGGGCACAUGAAAUAUCGAGCACAUGCAAUGAUGCAUUUCUUCGGGCACAUAAAAUAUCGAGCGCAUGCAAUAAUGCGGUUCUUCGAGCAUAAGUCAAUAUUGGGCAUAUGCGAUGAUGUAUUUCCUCGGGCAUAUGAUAUAUCGAGCACGUGCAAUAAUGUGUUCCUUCGGGCUCAUGCGAUAUCAAGCACAUGAAAUGAUGCAUUUCGGCAUUCUCGGGCAUAACAUAAUGAUGUAGUUCUUUGAGCAUAGGUGAUAUCAAGCGUAGGUGCGAAAUGAUGCAAUAUCGGGCAUAACGUAAUUUGUCAGCACAGUAGUUGCUUGGGCAUACAGUAGCUUGGGCGUCCGCCUUAUUGGAAGGAUCGAGUGUCAUAUGUCGGGCUCAAAUGUUGUGAUGUUGAUUGUUGCAGUUGCCUUUGUAUAUGUACCUGUAUUUUCUACAUUCAAAGAAAAAUAGUUAGUUUAAACGGGGGAAGGUUGAUCUGUAUCCGUGAUUUGGGCAGCGUGCUCCUUUGGCUUGCCAUCCACACCUCUUCGAGCGUCCUUUUUUUUUCAUAAAAAGAAAGGAAAAAGAGAGAGAAAGAUAAUAAUAAUAAAAACAAAAACUUUCAAAGAUUUUGAAAUUAUCAUUUAAUAAAAGCUGAUGUCGAAUCUUUGACCAUGGCAUAGGUUGAGACUUUACAACGUCUGACUCAAAAGUGGAGCUAUCAUUUAAUCUUCGUUGUAAGCUGACUGCUUGUUGAGAAGAAACUUUUGGUGAAAUUUUGAGUUUACUCAAAAUUUCUGCCCCAGUAUGAAGAUGUGCCAGGAGAAGUCUUGAUGGAAUUUUUGAGAUCCUCUCAAAAAUUCUGCCCCAGUUAUCAGUAGAAAAGGGGGAAAUGAAAGUUUUAUUUAUAAUAAGACCGAACCCCAUAGGAGCGCCUACGUAUCCCCUCUUAAAUGGGAAUCAGGUCUGACGUAGUUCCAAAUUACAAAAGAGCAUGAAUCAAUCUCUAGAUGUAAUACUUUUUCACAGAAUCUGAAUUGAUAGGUUUUGGCCAAACUUCUCCAUCCAUUUCUGCAAGUAUGAGGGCUCCGCCUGUCAGUACUCGAGAGACUAUGUAUGGACCUUGCCAAUUUGGUGAAAAUUUACCCUUUGCCUCGUCUUGAUUUGGAAAAAUCCGCUUCAAACCAGUUGCCCAGGUGAGAAAUGUCUGGGUUUAACCUUCUUGUUGAAAGCUCUGGCCAUUCUAUUCUGAUAGAGCUGACCAUGACAAAUGGCGUUAAUUCUUCUUCCAUCUAUUAAUGCCAAAUUCUCUGCCCGACCUCGUAUCCAAUCAGCAUCACUCAACUUUGCUUCUUGGAUGAUCCUUAGGGAAGGUAUCUCAACUUCGGCGGGUAUCACAGCUUCGGUGCCGUAUACUAAGAAGUAAGGUGUGGCCCCUGUGGAAGUUCUGAUUGUGGUACGAUACCCCAGCAAUGCGAAAGGUAGCUUUUCCUGCCAGUGUUUGUGAUUAUCGAUCAUCUUGCGCAAUAUCCUUUUGAUGUUUUUGUUUGCCGCCUCAACAGCCCCAUUCAUCUGUGGCCUGUAUGCUGUAGAGUUUCGAUGACUGAUCUUGAACUUCUCACACAUUGAUCUCAUCAGGUCACUGUUUAGGUUGGUGCCGUUAUCGGUGAUGAUUGACUCAGGAAUUCCAAACCUACAAAUAAUGUUGUUUUUGACAAAGUCAUCCACAACUUUCUUUGUCACUGAUUUAUGGGAGGUGGCCUCAACCCACUUGGUGAAAUAGUCAAUUGCAACAAGAAUGAAUCUGUGCCCGUUGGAUGCUGUUGGCUCGAUUGGACCAAUGACAUCCAUGCCCCAUGCUGCGAACGGCCAAGGUGAACUAGUGACAUGGAGUUCGUUGGGAGGUACUCGAAUCAUAUCUGCGUGAGUCUGACAUUGAUGGCAUUUCUGGACGUAGCGAAUGCAGUCUGUCUCCAUAGUUAGCCAAUAAUAUCCUGAUCUCAGAAUCUUCUUUGCUAAUGUAAAACCGUUCAUGUGAGGGCCACAGGUGCCUGCAUGUAUCUCUUCGACCAGCCUGCGAGCCUCUCUUGCUUCGACGCAUCUUAGCAGUCCCAAAUCGGGAGUUCUCUAUAGAGUAUUUCCCCACUUAAGAAGAAUUGGGUUGCUAACCUUCGAAUUGUACGCUUUUGUACACUUGUUGCAUCUUCUGUGUAUUCACCACUCUUCAAAUAUCUUCUAAUGUCAUCAUACCAGGGCUUUCCAUCAGGCUCUUCCUCAACAUGGAAACAAUAAGCUGGUUGUUCAUGUAUAUGAAUGUGAAUAGGAUCGAUGUAAUUGUGAUCAGGGUGUCGAAUCAUAGAAGACAGAGUGGCUAAGGCGUCUGCAAAUUCAUUUUGGACCCUUGGUACAUGUCUAAAUUCUGUUUUGACAAACCUUUUACAUAGCCUGUGCACGCACUCCAAAUAUGGUAACAACUUUCGAUUUUUUGUUGCCCAAUCACCUCGAACCUGAUGGAUCAAUAGGUCUGAAUCCCCUAUUAUUAUCAUUUCCUGGACAUCCAAGUCGAUCGCCCGUCGGAGACCUAGUAUGCAGGCUUCGUAUUCGGCCAUAUUAUUUGAGCAAAGGAAUCUGAGUUUUGCUGAUACUGGAUAAUGUUGCCCGGUGGGUGAGAUCAAAACAGCCCCAAUGCCGCAUCCAUUCAGAUUUUUAGCUCCAUCAAAAAACAUUCUCCAUCCAUCAUAUUCUUCAGAAAUGUCCUCUCCUACAAACGCCACCUCUUCAUCUGGGAAGUAGGUCUUCAGCGGUCUGUAAUCAUCGUCCACGGGAUUCUCUGCCAUAUGGUCUGCUAAUGCCUGUGCUUUCACUGCUUUUUGCGUGACAUACACUAUGUCAAACUCACUCAACAGUAUCUGCCAUUUUGCCAGUUUACCUGUGGGCAUAGGCUUUUGAAAGAUAUACUUCAAAGGAUCCAUCCUUGAAAUCAGAUAAGUGGUAUGCGAUGAGAGGUAAUGUCGUAACUUUUGGGCAACCCAUGUUAGAGCACAACAGGUACGCUCUAAUAGAGAGUAUCGGGCUUCGCACGAUGUGAACUUCUUGCUCAUAUAAUAUAUUGCUUGCUCCUUCCUCCCUGUUUCAUCGUGUUGUCCCAAGAUGCAACUGAAAGCAUUAUCCAAUACUGAAAUAUACAAAAGUAAUGGUCUACCUGACUCUGGUGGCACCAAUACAGGAGGAUUGGAUAGAUAGUCUUUGAUCUUGUCAAAUGCCUGUUGACAUUCACUUGUCCAUUUCACUGCAGCAUCCUUUUUUAACAGCUUGAAGAUAGGUUCACAGAUGACAGUAGACUGAGCAAUGAAACGACUGAUGUAGUUAAGUCGCCCAAGAAACUCAUUACCUCCUUCUUGUUCUUUGGUGGGGGAAGAUCACGAAUGGCUUUGAUCUUUGACGGGUCCAAUUCUAUACCUCGACGACUGACAAUGAAACCUAAAAGCUUUCCAGCAGGCACACCGAAGACACAUUUUGCCGGAUUCAGUUUCAGAUUGUACUUGCGUAGCCUGGCAAAGAAUUUCCGUAAAUCCUCCAAAUGAUUUAAACUUUCCUUUGAUUUGAUGAUGACAUCAUCCACAUAAACCUCAAUUUCCUUAUGGAUCAUGUCGUGAAACAAAGUAGUCAUCGCUCUCAUGUACGUAGCUCCAGCGUUCUUUAGUCCAAAAGGCAUCACCUUGUAGUUAUAGACGCCCCACGGCGUGAUGAAAGCGGUUUUCUCAGCGUCGUCUUUGUGCAUCUCGAUUUGAUGAUAGCCGGCAAAGCAAUCCACAAAUGACUGAGUUUCGUGCUUAGCACAAUUAUCAAUCAGUAUGUGUAUGUUUGGUAACGGAAAGUUAUCUUUAGGGCUAGCUUUAUUGAGAUCUCGGUAAUCCACGCAAACUCUGACCUUGCCGUCUUUCUUGGGCACUGGAACGACAUUUGCAAGCCAAGUUGGGUAUUCUGUCACUUGGAGUAUCCCAACAUCUAAUUGCUUUGAUACUUCUUCUUUGAUUUUCAAACUCAUCUCGGGCUUGUAUUUUCUCAGCUUCUGUUUUACCGGAGGACAUGCUGGAUCAGUGGGUAGUCGAUGGGCUACGAUUGCAGUACUUACCCUGUCAUGUCUGCGUAGGACCACGCGAAAAUAUCCUUAUUCUCUAUGAGAAACUCGGUAUACUCUUUCUUGUCUUCUUUUGUCAUAUGGAUGCUUACUCGGGUUUCUUGUAUCACCUCUGCAUUUCCCAAAUUCACCACUUCUGUCUCUACCAAAUUUGGAUUGGGUUUUUCCUCGAAUUCCUCAACCCUUUUGAUUAACUCCUCGGGAACCUCAUUGUCUUCGACUUCUUCUAAGUCAUUAAGGUUAAGCUGAGCAGUCUCAUUGUAUGCCACAAUCUCAGAUUCGACAUUUUUAUAAUGAAUUUUGCUGGUGAAAAAAAAUAGUAAAAAUUAAAUACAAGACAAAAAAAACAAAAAAAAAUGGGGAAAAGAACUUUAUUGAUAAAGAUUUGAAAAUUUCAUAAGUCCUCAUUUGAAAGCAAUACAUGGACGGGAAUUAAAACGUUUAUUAAAAACUCCUUUAUUUGAAUUAAAAUUUGAUAGAAAAACAUCUUCCAAGCUACCCAGAUGCUCGACGAGGUCUGGAUGGAGUCGAGGUCCAGUUGCUGACGCUGAUCUUUGCCUCUUUGCUUCCACUAGGGCCCCCUUUCUCCUCCUCGUUGAUCACGACGUUGCAAACUUUCCCUUCUUCUUUGGUUAGCGAUAACCCCUUCAAGUCGUCUGAGAUCUCAUCAAUAUUGUCUCCCAUGAAACCUGCUGAUCGAAAUGAUUGAUACAAUGGCGGUAUGGGUUUCUUCAAUGGAUAGUAGUACCCAUCUCUAGGUGGUCGCCAAUCGAGCCAUUCUUCGGUGGUGUAUUUAUAACCCAAACCAAAAGUGGUGGAAUGUCGAACAGGCUGUAUAGGUUCGACUAUCCCUUGUAAUUUAGCCCCCAAACCUUUCCCAAGCUCGAAACCGAACCAGGCCAUCAUAUCUAUGAUUUUUUGGCUGAACCAAGGUUGCAACUCAAUAUUACCAACAAGCUCCACUGUAUGGUACAUUUCGCCAUCCAUAUUCUCUCUUCCUUCAAUCGUGUAUACAGGAUGCCCUUUUUCCCCAUGGACCACAACCUCUUCAUAAUCCCAUUCAAACUUCAGGCAUUGGUGAAGAGUAGAUGGAACCGCUCCAGCCAUAUGAAUCCAUGGACGACCCAAUAAUAAGUUGUACGAUGAAGGGAUGUCCAAAAUUUGGAAAGCUAUGGGGAAAGUGACAGGACCAAUGAGCAUGUCCAAGGUUAUCUCCCCAAUAGUGCCUCUCUGAGAGCCGUCAAAUGCCCUCACAUUCAUCUUCCAUGUCUGAAUUUUUGCACUAUCCACACCCAGCCUCGUCAGUGUGCUCAGAGGGCAAAUGUUUAAACCUGAACCUGCAUCAACUAAUGCUUUGUUUAUCACCUUAUCCUGAUACUGAACCGAAAUGUACAAAGCUUUAUUGUGAGUUGUUCCUUCGAUUGGCAGUUCAUCUUUGUGAAAAGAUAUUUUGUAAGCCUCAAAUACCUGCCCCACCAUUUGGGAUACCUCUCCAUGAGUGAUGUUGGACGGGACAUAAGCUUCACCAAGGAUCUUCAGAAGGGCAUCUCGAUGAGUUUCGGAAGAUUGUAGUAACUCCAGAAUUGAUAUUUGGGAAGGGGUUUUACUCAGCUGCUCAAUGACAGAGUAUUCUUUAGCUUUAACCUUUUUCCAAAUACUUUGAUCCUCGAGCUCUACGAUUGGCGCUUUGGAUUUGCUAGAGCUUCCCUGAACCAAAUUUUCAGAAGUGUAAAUUCUUCCAGAUCUGGUGACCCCUGUUGCAACAUCUGUCUCUUCCACAUUUGUUUCUCUUUUGUUGUAAUCCCAAGGUACAGCAUGUGUGUCACAUUGUGUUGGGGAGGAUGCCUUAUAGACAGCGAAUGGUGGUCUGGGUGCAGCAACUUCUACUUCAAAUGGGGCGAGUCCUUGCACUAUUAGUGGUGCCUGGGCAGUGGUAGGCAUGGCUUCCUCUGUUUCGACGGCCCAGAUAGAUUCUUCCCAAUCCCAGACAUCACCAGCUUCCACCAUGUUGACUUGAUGGUUAGGGAGAGGAUUAUUCGCAACAUUCGGUGUAGGAUCCUUCAGUUGGAUGGUCUUUGUAUCAAUCAACAUUUGAACCUUAUCCUUAAGGGCUCUGCAAACUUCGGUGGUGUGGCCCUUCAUCCCAGAAUGGUAGGCGCAGACCUUGUUAGGGUCGUACCAUUUCGCGCGAACGUCCACAGGUAAUGCAGGAAUUGGAGAGACGUACCCAGCUUGUUUCAGUCUCUCAUAAAGUUGUGCUAUGGGUUCAGCCAAAGGGGUAUAGGUUUUUGUAGGUCUUCUUUCAUAGGAAGGUCUGUUUCGGUAAUUUGGUGUUUGAGUGGGUGGUGGAGUUUGGAAGUGUGUUGGUUGAACAUUAUAGACAGGAUAUGAGGCAUGCAAAUAUUGAGGAGGAGCAUUUUGGUAAUAUAUUGGCAUGGGUUGGGGAGAUAUAGGGGGUGGAGCUGAGGGAUGUUGAGGGUAUGGGGUGUGAGGGUAUGGGGAUGGUGGUGGGUUUGUUGUCUUGUGCCUCAAAGGGGUCCUAGUUCCAUGAACCAUCAUUACAGAACCUGUUUUCUUUCGACUCUCUGUCAUUCCACCAGAUUGCAGAGCCUUGUUGGUUGCUUGUAAAGCCUCCAAGUUGAUGAUAGUCCCAUUCUUUAUGCCUUCUUCAAUUCUUUCGCCUAGUUUGAUGAUUUCAGCGAAACUCUUUUCAGCCACCAGCAUCAUUCGGUCAUAGUAUUGUGGUUCUUGGGCACGGAUGAAAUAGUCUUUCAUUUGAGAUUCUUCCAUAGGGGGUCUGGCCCUAGCCGCCUCAGACCUCCAUCUUAUGGCAUAUUCUCUGAAGGAUUCACUUGGUUUCUUCUUUAGGUUCUGAAUGUAAAACCAAUCAGGCGCAUUUUCAAUAUUGAAACCAAACCUAUUCAUGAAGUCAGUUGCCAUAUCAACCCAUUUUAUCCAUUUCCGCGAGUCUUGCUCAAUGUACCAUGAUAGGGCCUCCCCAGUAAGACUUCUCAUGAACAACUUCAUGAGUAUCCUCUCAUCUCUCCCCACCCCUACAAGUUUGUCGCAAUACAUUCGUAGGUGGGCUUUGGGAUCCCCAAUGCCAUUGAACGUCUCAAACUUCGGAAGCUUGUAUCCUUCGGGCAGUUCCACAUCAGGAUGCAUGCACAGAUCUUCAUAGCGCAAUCCUCCCAACCUUUUGUUUCCUUCCACGUGUUGUACCCUGUUGGUCAAGUUGUCUAAUCUCUCAGUCAGGGUUUUUAUUAAGAUGUCUUUCUGAUGGGACUCUGACUCAUGGAGGUCAUGAGUCAGAGGGGCAGUUUCAACGUAUAUGGGAUUGGGAUUGUUGUUCCAAAAGUAUGUGGGAUAUUUGUGUUUGGGGUUGUUUCUGGGACAGUUGGUUUGGUAUGUUGGUAAUAGUGGUGAAAUGGAAAUUGGGUAUUUUGGGCGUGGGGUGGUGGAAAGGCAUUUGGACGAAUGGGUUCAGGUGGGGAUAUAUGGAUUGGAGGAUUGUCUGGCGUGGCUGUUUGAUUAGGAGGAUUAUCUAUGUUUUCUCCAAAUUGGGUUCCAAGAGAGAUAGACAACUUGGCCAAAUCACGCAUGUUGGCUACCUCUUCUUCCAAUUGCGAAAUCUUGCGCUCGAGUCUUAGGAUAAGAUUAUUAUGAAGUUGUCCUCCCUCAGAAGCUUCUACCCUUUCAGUGGUGCUGUUGUCGUCAACCAUUUUUCCUUUGUCUUUUGAGCUUGCUCUUUGAGAAGAAGGAGAAGGGGGGUCCCUUUUGAUCGUGUAUGUGCCAGGAUGAAGGACAGAUCAACCUUAGGAAAUGGGAAAACAAUAGAAUCAAAAGAAAAGAGUUAGGGGUUAAGAUAAUAUCACAAUAUCAACACGUUGUUUUGAAAUAAACGCCCUAAAUGCAAGGAACCUCGUUGAGCCAGAGGUAGGCCUAAGCGACACAUAAGUGAUGCAUAAUAAUUAAUUCAAGCCUUAUUUGCCAAUUUGGAGUUUAGAGUUAGAUAGUAGAACAACUUUCAAUUAUUGAAAUAAUUUUUGUUUAUUACAUCAAUCUAAAGAUAACUAAGGGCUAGGGAUAACAUAUGGGGAGUAAAGAGAAAUAAAUAAUAAAAGCUUUAAUCAUGUUGCUCUCCAAUGUUAGGCACAAUCUGCUUCUUCAUUUCUAGGGUAAUGUCAUAAUCAGUGUUGAGAAGGUUGCGAGCCCAUCUUCUCUCUUUUUCAUCGCCAAAACCAGGAAGGCCUCCUUCGCUUAAAUCUCUAUGCUCUGCAUCUUCUAAAAGCCAUACAUAAUAUUCAGGUGUGCAGAAGGGUCGGUGCUCUUGAACAUCGAUAGUUAUCACAUUCUUCCAUCUUCGCAGUAUGGUGUUCACUUGCGGUAAUUCUGACCCAAAGUCAUAUCCAUAGUGGCUCAUGUGGGAUCGUAGAGGUAUCAUUUGGAUCUGUCCGAAUUGUCGAAGGACUCGAAGUGGUGCGUAAGGUUGCACACCGUUCAAACCGAUAAGCUCAAUGAAGUAAAGUUCAUUUCCUCUUAUGAUGGCACGUCGUGGCUUCAACCAAUAAUACUUCCAUUGGAUUUCAACGGCUGACCGCUCCUUUAGGUAUGUGAACCAGUCCUCUGUUCCCACAGGGGAGAUAAAAUGUUUCAUCCUUAGGGGAUGGUUGAUAAUUUUGUUCCCCAUAGUCCCUCUGACGAUGUCUACUUUAUUAGCUCUUUGGUAGAAAUGUUCGACGGCCCAAAGUUGCAGCAGAAAGUUGCACCCUUCAAAGUAUCUUUUGCCUUUGGUGCAUGCAGUCAAAGCUCUUAGAAUUUCUGCGAGUAUCAUAGGGACCAAGGUUUUCCCACCUCGAGCCAACAUACGAACCACAUAACAUAAGCCGGUGUGGAUCUUUCCUCCUUCUCUAGGAAAAACCAAUGAGCCUAAUAGGGCGACAGCGAAUGCAUUAAGACGAUAUCUUUCCCAUUUUGCAGAAGAGCAAGCAAAUUCUCUAUGAAAGUUUUGAUGACCUUCCUCAUCCCCAAAGCGUGAAUAUAAGAACUCUAAAGAAAUCCAACCUUCUUUCAGACAAAGUAGAUUUGGAUUAUGACACAUGCCCAUUUGCUUCAAAAAAGAUCUUGGACUUGGCUUGUGUGGAACAAUCAUUUCCAACUCUUUGUAUGCGAGACCCAUGAAUCCUCCAACUUCUUCUAUUGUUGGAGUUAGCUCAAAAUCCCUGAACUUGAAGACUAACCUCUCAGUGUCCCAGAAUUUCAACAAUGCCUUGAUUAAGUGACGAUCUGACUCUACGGAGAUCAAAGCAGUGAGGCCGCCUAACAAUUCAUUUGCUUCUAACUCUCGAUUUUUUUGAAUAUCUUUCCACCAAGUCUUCAAAAUGGGAUUAACCUUGACCACCAUUUGCGUGUUGGGAAAGUGAGGGUAAGCCAUGACUCUGCAAACAAAGAAACAAACAACUUCUAAACUCCAUUUUGGCAAUGUUGACUUGAUUUAAUUAUUAUGAUCACGUUGACACAUAAAUAUGCAAUUUGUCUAAGGGUGUUGGGGCCCUUUAGACGAGAGGGUGGCUACUAAUUACAUGGAUUGACACCAAGGGUCAAACCUCCUAGGGCUUAUGCAGCAUGUAUGACUUAACCAGGACUUCUAAGAGUGGUUUGACACGGACUUGAAAGGGAUUCUAUGCGAGAGGCUCGUGGCUUCGCGGUAGUAAAACUAUCCACUACGUCCACGCAUAUGCCGACUCUCUAUAAUGGGUAUUUGUAUAAGAUUGGAGUAGUUGUGAGAGGUGCAAAGGCACAACAUCACGAGAACAAAAUAAAAAAGAAAGAGGGUCCCAAUUGGGGGAAGUAUGAGCGGGAUGCCAAUUUAUUAAAGCAAUAAACAUUUAGCAUUUGAAUUGGAAAACGGUAACAUAUAGGCAAUUUAUAAACAAUAAAUAAAUAAGCAUAAAUAAAGAAAAGUAGACAUAUAAAGAUAUGAAAACUACGCAAAUAAAGCAAGAGAAUACGAGAUUAAACAUGUAAACAAAUAAGGGGAGAGGGAAGAGGUGAAAACAUGAUAAUAAACAAUUAAGGAAAAGGAAAAGGGAGGAAUAUGAAGAUGAGAUAAUAAAUAGGGCAACAAAACAUGGUAAGCACCUAAUGAAUAAAAUAAACCCCACAUAAAUAAGCAGUUAACACGUAAUGGUAAGAACCUAACAUCCCCAGCGGAGUCGCCAUUCUGUCGCGCCCCAUUUUCGCGGAAAACGGGUUUUGUGCGCGACCUAACAACUCUUUUGGGAUUUCGAGUUUUUUGGAGUCGCCACCUAACGAAUUAAGGCGCGUUAGGGAACCUAUCUAACCUAACUAAGUCUAACUAAAGUCAAAGGGCCAGAGAUUAGGGUAAGGGUUCAAAUUACCUCGAGGGGAAGGUGUUAGGCAUCCCUCGAGGUCCACAAGUGUGGGUCCCGGCCGUAUCUCAUGCAAUCUAUGUGGGGGUACAAGUAGCAAUCAAGGUCGUUUAUUAAUUUAUUUAAUCUUACUAAGUGAUAACAAAUACGAAACAAUUAAGACUAUUAUUCUUAUUUAUUUAGAUAUGUAAAGCUAGGUGAUGACAAUAAAUAAACAAUUAAGCUCAUUUUAUUUAUUUUUGACAUACGACACUAUGUUAUAGACAAAAUUGGCAAAUAUUAAGCAAUUAGUAUGUGCAAAAGUAAAGUUAAAAAUUGAUAAGUUUAUGAAUAGGAAUUUUUAUUUUUUUUUAAAAAUGUUUAUUUCUUUAUAGGGAUGAUGCCACGAUAUUAUUGAUCGUGCUCCUCCACCAUAGAAACAAUUUUGAUUUGAGGUCGGUCUAAAAAAUUUAUGUUUUUAACAAAUGAUUUAAAAUAUUUAGUUCACACGUAGGCACAUAAACAAUUACAUAUAAAUGCACAUAAUUCUUUUUGAAGUUCAUGGGAAGUGGUACUUCCGGGGACGCAUCGGUUUAAAAAUUGGAACUAGACCUCAUAGUUCCUUUGACUUUCCCACUAACGAUAGGUUAGGAGAUAGUACUUUAUUUUUUUUAAAAAUAAUGUCACAAUCAAUCCAAAAUUUCAAAGGAAGAUUGAAUAAUGACUUUUAAGAAAAUUAUGUUGCAAAAUUUUAUAAGUACUAAAACUAGUAGAACAUUAAGAUGGUAAAUUUAUUAAAUGCAAAGGUUUUAAGACGAAGCCAAAUAAUUUGUUAAAUGCAUGACAUGAUUUAGCAUCAUAAAAAUUUAAGAAAAUAACAUAUUGCAAAAAUCUUCAUUUUUAUGAGUUUAUUUACAAGCCUAUAGACAUGAUUUCUAGGUGUAAAAAGUAACACAUAUAUGCAUAAUUUUGUAAAUGGUAUGAACAAAUUAAACCUUAGACAUGGUUUCUACAUGAUAAGACAAAUGAGAAUUUAUAAUAUUUUAACAUCUAACAACCUACUAGAUUUAUUAGGAUUUGAUUUUAACAUUUAAAAAUUAAUGGACUCUAGUUCUUAUUUUUUUAAGGCUUGUUAACAAAACGUCAAGCAAAUUGAAAAUUGAUUAGAUUAUAACACCUACAAAUAUCAAAUCUAGGUGGUUAAAGACAAACCUAUAGGCAUGAUUUCUAAAAAAAAUAAUGAGCAAGUACGCAUAUAAAUCCCCCUCCCCUAGACGACCCCCAAAUAACUUUAUUAUAUGAUCUUAGGGUUACAAUUGUUACAACAUUCGAAUAAAUAAAAUAGCGGAAAAAAUAAAAUAUAUAGACAUAUAUACAUUCAAACAAAUAAACAAAUCCUUCUUCAGUUAAUCUUCAACUUGAACUUCAAAUAUGAAACCUGUUAAACAAAACAAAAUGAUUCACCUUGUACUCGAACAAAGCAGGAAAAUAGCGGAGAAAAGCACUUGAAUAUUUGCCGAAAUAUUAAUAUAUUGUUUAAAGUAGCAAGAGAGCAAUGAGAGAAGGGAGAGUGAUGAGAGAAUUUUUGGUUGAAAGUGAAUGGGUAUAUUUUAGAGAAUGAGAGGAGGGGGUCCUUUUUAUAUAACAAAGAGGGGUAACAAAUAAGGGGAAAAAUGUUUAAA